rnacentral:rRNA from 1 species
ACGGGGUGCAGCAGGCGCGAAAACUUCACAAUGCGGGAAACCGUGAUGAGGGAAUUCCAAGUGCUAAUACUUUGUAUUAGCUGUUUACUUGCCUAAAAAGCAGGUAGAGUAAGGGCUGGGUAAGACUGGUGCCAGCCGCCGCGGUAAUACCAGCAGCCCGAGUGGUGAUCGCUAUUAUUGGGCCUAAAGCGUCCGUAGCCGGCUUGGUAAACCCUUGGGUAAAUCGGGCAGCUUAACUGUCCGACUUCUGAGGAGACUGCCAGGCUUGGGACCGGGAGAGGUCAGAGGUACUUCUAGGGUAGAGGUGAAAUUCUGUAAUCCUAGGAGGACCACCAGUGGCGAAGGCGUCUGACUAGAACGGGUCCGACGGUAAGGGACGAAACCCUGGGUCGCGAACCGGAUUAGAUACCCGGGUAGUCCAGGGCGUAAACGCUGCGGGCUUGGUGUUGGGGGUCCUACGAGGGCGUCCAGUGCCGGAGAGAAGUUGUUAAGCCCGCCGCCUGGGAGUACGAUCGCAAGA